rnacentral:rRNA from 1 species
CAGCCGCCACGGUAAUACGUAGGGUGCAAGCGUUAUUCGGAAUUACUGGGCGUAAAGCGUGCGCAGGCGGUUUGUUAAGACAGAUGUGAAAUCCCCGGGCUCAAUCUGGGAACUGCAUUUGUGACUGGCAAGCUAGAGUCUGGCAGAGGGGGGUGGAAUUCCGCGUGUAGCAGUGAAAUGCGUAGAUAUGCGGAGGAACACCGAUGGCGAAGGCAGCCCCCUGGGCCAACACUGACGCUCAUGCACGAAAGCGUGGGGAGCAAACAGGAUUAGAUACCCGCGUAGUCCCUGUCUCUUAUAC